CUCAAAUAGAUCACCCAAACAACCCCUUAGCGUCUAUUUUCUUCGUCGGCGGGGUUUCCAGACAUAGGUUAGCUUUGACGGUGAUCGAUGAGGAUGCAAUCUAGGGUUUUGUUUGGUAAACUUGAUAUGCCCUAGAAUAUCAAUCUAUGGCUUGAAAGAUCAUUUUUUCAAGAAUGGGUGAAGUUCCAUCUCUGUAUACUUUAUGUAUGGUUGCAAUUAAGAAAGAAAUUCUUAGCGAUGAUGAUACUCUUCCACCGCAUGUAUAUGAAAUUCCAUCGGAUUUAUUUGAUAGCUUGCUGACAUUUUUACCUCCAUUGGCCUUGCAAAAGAUACAAGAACAAAUGUCAGUUUAAAAAACUCACUCUAAUUUCCUCACUUAAUUACGUAUACUAGUUUUU